UGGAAGGAAGCACUGUGAGAAGGAGCAGUGACCUGGCCGGAAGGGACAUCAGAUUGGUGGCAUCAGAGCCUCUAGCUCUGUGCUUCACUGGCACUAGGUGGCCCUUCCCUACAUGCAAGCAUGACUCCAGUCUGUCCAGAGUCCAUGUCUGUACACUGCCAGGCUCCUGGGGGUGUGGCUAGCUCCACAACCCUGUAUACUUAAGGCAGCAGGAAAGUGGAAGCCAGAGAAGGUACGGCUUACACUACGACCCCCAGCUCUAAAACUCAGGGUUCUUCCCAGGCCAGCUCAACUUGGGCAGGCUCUCCUUUUGGCUCUUCAGAUCUGUCUGGGAAUACGCAAAAGAAACAGCAAGCCUCCUGCCUGAAUAUGGAGGGGACUUAGGUCAGUGGAGUAGCAACUAUCAUUGGAACUUGGGGAUUCUGGGUAAGCCUCUGUAAGGCCUCUGGAGUGUAAGGAGCCCCAGAAAUUGAGCCCAAUUUCUCAGGGGGUCUCAGGGUUCACCAACAAGCAAGGGCUGGGGAUUCUUUUCUAUAACCCCAACUUCCCAUGAGUCCUCUGUAACUAGACAUGAUUCGCACUCUGCUAAAACCGAAACAAGAACAUCUAAACCCAGUGAGUGGACGGCUGAAGGAGAGGAGCACUAGAUUCAAGCCACUUGGGGCAGCCAGCCACAGUGGAGGCCUCUGCCAGCCACAGUGGAGGCCUCUGCUCUCACCCUGGGCUGUCAAGAGGCAGAUGGAAGCGGGCGGACACACAGCCGGAGCAGCGGUGUAGGUCUGUUUUCGGAAGGCUUCUCUCCUGAGACACAGAGCUGACCUCUGACAUAGUGGGCUCCCAGAUCCUGGGGGAGCUUAUUCUCCAAGGACACAGAGUUCAAAACACGAGGCCUCAGCCUCCUCUUCCUGCCUCCGUGCCUGCUGCUUCCUGCCCUGGCUCCCCACUACAACACCCCUGGAACCAGAAAUGCAGAUAAACUCUUCCUUCCCUUA